ensembl:lncRNA
AUGACAGAGAGUGCUGCGGUGAAGUCGAUUACUGAUGUGGGCGAGCAUAUAAUCAGCGCUCACUCUCUUCAUGUACUUACAAGAGGCAAGUUCUCGGAAAGCCUCCCAGGACGUCAAUGCACACCAUGUCAUAUUCCAGUAAUGAGGAUCUGCCAGAGACAAACAGAAAUAAGGAAGACGGAACAAACAGUCCGUGUCCAACAGACUGAUUAUGACUGCAGACGAGAGUGCCGUGAAAAAUAAUGUAUGCUUGUUCUGAUGGAGCUAAAUGGACCUGAUUGAGGUAAUUAAACAAGCUACAUGAUACUCUUCCUUUACACCAUGAACAUCGCUGUGGGCUUUAGACUUUAAAGGUACAAAAAAGAAUAGCCACUAUGUCCUGCAUCGUUCUUCAUCAUCAUCAUCAUCAUAAAAUAGGGGUUUGAAGAUGCUUUUAGGUUCUUGAAACUUUUAACUCCCUAGUGCUCUUCUGUCAUUUUUUACUUUAAAUUUUAUGUAUGUAUAUUCAUUCAUUCAUUCAUUCAUUCAUUCAUUCAUUCAUUCAUUCAUUCAUUCAUUUAUCCAUCCAUUCAUCCAUUCAUUCAUUUAUACAUACUUCAUUGGAAUUGUAUGGAAUUUGGUAAAGGUAUUGAGACUUGCUAUGUGACGACCACACACACACACACACACACACUUGCAAUUGUGGUUUACGGGGACUCUUCAUAGGUGUAAAUGUUUUUAUACUGUACAAACUGUAUUUUCUAUCACCCUACACCAACCCUACACCUAAACCUACCCCUUACAGAAGACUACUGGCAAUUUUUGAAUUUCAUAAAACACCUUUUUGUAUGACUUUUGUUUUACAGGGACACAUUUGUGUCAUCAUUAACCCACAUAUACCAGCACACACACACACACACACACACACACACACACACACACACACACACACACACACACACACCAAACAAAACAUGUCCAUGAUUCAAAAGGGUCCAAAAAUGAAUGAAUGAAUGAAUUAUAUAUAUAUAUACUACCGUUCAAAAGUUUGGGAUAAGUAAGACUGGAGUUCUGGAGCUCUGGAGAUCUGGGUCAGUCAUGACAUGAAGCACCAGACACCACUUUAGAUAAAUUGCUUGAUUAUGUGAGGAAAAUAUUUCUGAAACAUCCAGUCAUCAGACAAUUUUAGUGCUCAGACAGAGAUUAGUUCUGACGAAGUGAUGGAGAAUUACCUGAACAUUAGAAGUGAAUUUGGUACUGCAGAAAGAUAUUCAAAAUCAAAAUUAUAAUGUAGAUGGGUACUAGACACAUACUGCAAUUACUGACAUUUUAGAGAGGUCUGCUGAUAUAUAUAUAUAUAUAUAUAUAUAUAUAUAUAUAUAUAUAUAUAUAUAUAUAUAUAUAUAUAUAUAUAUAUAUAUAUAUAUAUAUAUAUAUAAUUUAGAUGUUGUGAUAUUGUUU